UACGUAGGCAGCGAGCGUUGUUCGGAAUUACUGGGCGUAAAGAGUGUGUAGGCGGUGUUCCAAGUUCGGUGUGAAAUCUCCCGCUUAACUGGGAGGGUGCGCCGAAAACUGGAAUGCUCGAGCGUGGGAGAGGAAAGCGGAAUUCCUGGUGUAGCGGUGAAAUGCGCAGAUAUCAGGAGGAACACCGGUGGCGAAGGCGGGUCUCUGGGCCGAUACUGACGCUGAGGAGCGAAAGCGUGGGGAGCGAACAGG
rnacentral:rRNA from 1 species